GACGAACGCUGGCGGCGUGCUUAACACAUGCAAGUCGAACGGAAAGGCCCUGCUCUUGUGGGGUGCUCGAGUGGCGAACGGGUGAGUAACACGUGAGUAACCUGCCCUUGACUUUGGGAUAACUUCACGAAACUGGGGCUCAUACCCGAUAGGAGAUCCUGCUGCAUGGGGGUGGUUGGAAAGUUUCGGCGGUUGUGGAUGGACUCGCUGCUUAUCCGCUUGUUGGUGGGGUAGUUGCUUACCAAGGCUUUGACGGCUAGCCGGCCUUAGAGGGUGACCGGCGACCUUGGGACUGAGAUACGGCCCAGACGCCUACGGGAGGCAGCAGGGGGGAAUAUUGCACAAUGGGCGGAAGCCUGAUGCAGCAACGCCGCGUGCGGGAUGACGGCCUUCGGGUUGUAAACCGAUUUCGCAUGUGACGAAGCGUGAGUGACGGUAAUGGGUAAGGAAGCACCGGCUAACUACGUG
rnacentral:rRNA from 1 species